UCCAGUGAUCAUAUCCUGCUUAAAACCUCAUAAUAACAAUUAGUUUUUGUGGCCUCGAUUAUACAAAGAGCUGAAAUUUAGAUUGCAUCAGAGGAAAUCUUAAGUGUGUUUGAUGUUGCUUGGGUUUUUCCAAGUAGUAUUUGUCAAUAUUGCAUUGUUUUUGGAAGAAAAAAAACUAAUAUGUUUUCUUGUUUUUAGUUCAGCAUGUAUCAGCUACACUCUUCCUUCUUGUGGCUUCAGUGCAGAUCUGCUGCCCAAUGUGGAGACUUAAAGCUACUUCUUCCCAAGGAUUUGAAUCCUGCACUUCAAAUAUAUGCAGAAGGAACAUCACCUAACAAGGUAAGA